UACGUAGGGGGCGAGCGUUAUCCGGAGUUACUGGGCGUAAAGCGCACGCAGGCGGUCGUGCAAGUUCGGGGUGACAGCUGCCGGCUCAACUGGCAGAGCGCCGCGAAGACUGCGCGACUCGAGGGCCACAGAGGGACACGGAACUCCGGGUGUAGUGGUGAAAUGCGUAGAUAUCCGGAAGAACACCAAAAGGCGAAGGCAGUGUCCUGGGUGGUACCUGACGCUCAGGUGCGAAAGCUAGGGGAGCGAACGGGG
rnacentral:rRNA from 1 species